rnacentral:rRNA from 1 species
GACGAACGCUGGCGGCGUGCUUAACACAUGCAAGUCGAACGAUGAAGCCGGAGCUUGCUCCGGUGGAUUAGUGGCGAACGGGUGAGUAACACGUGAGCAAUCUGCCCUUGACUCUGGGAUAACUGCGGGAAACUGUAGCUAAUACCGGAUACGACACCUUGGGGCAUCCCAGGGUGUGGAAAGAAUUUCGGUCAAGGAUGAGCUCGCGGCCUAUCAGCUAGUUGGUGAGGUAAUGGCUCACCAAGGCGACGACGGGUAGCCGGCCUGAGAGGGUGACCGGCCACACGGGAACUGAGACACGGUCCAGACUCCUACGGGAGGCAGCAGUGGGGAAUAUUGCACAAUGGGCGAAAGCCUGAUGCAGCAACGCCGCGUGAGGGAUGAAGGCCUUCGGGUUGUAAACCUCUUUUAGCAGGGAAGAAGCGAAAGUGACGGUACCUGCAGAAAAAGCACCGGCUAACUACGUGCCAGCCGCCGCCGUAA